rnacentral:sRNA from 1 species
GUGAAUUGCUUGAUGGCAAGAAGGAGGAACAAAAUAAAAUCAAAACGGUGAAAAAGAGACCUCAGUUCCCGCCCUACUAUGCUACUCCCAAAACAAGAAGUCCGGUAGGCCCAGCAUGUAUCACGGGUGAGUACCAAGUGGAUACCAGCGAGAAGAGCUUGUCAUUAGUAUCCUGCAAGUGCCAGCGCCGGGUGACACCCGACAAGCUGUCUACGGACGCUUGGUUUUAUGAUGGUGCAAGACGGUUACUAAACGUUGCGUGUCCAAUUCUAUGCUGCAUGUCUUUUACAAUAUAAUGGUCAAUACCCAAUACACGAGAAUUUAGAAAGUCCUGUGAGUCCAGUCGCCACCCAACAUGGUACCCUUAACCUUCAUCGCCCUGAUGCCCGCCGCAUCGCACUUGAGGGGGCUUGCGCUAAGGAUACAGAGAUCGGCACGGUCCCCAACUUCGAGCUUGGGCUUGCCAUUCUAAGAUAUCGUCAGUGCAUGCUCUAGGUAAGUGUGAAGUUGAGAUGACUUACAGAAGUGGACGCCCGCCAAGCGACUUCGAGAUCAAUGAUUUGCUCCUUGCAGAAGGGGUUGUGCUCGUCACCCUCGGCAGCUCGGGUCAUGGCGACGGCAAUAGCCUCCCAAGGCUGGAGAGGGGCGACGGGGCAGUCACUACCGAGUUUGAUAGGAACACCAGCAUCGACAAGCCAUCGGAAGGGGUAAGCACGAUGUUCUCGCCCAGGCCAGAACUUGUGGCAGAGGUCGCGGUCAUCGACAAGGUGACAAGGUUGGAUAGAAGCGAUUACACCGAGGGAACGGAAGAGAGGUAGAUCUUCAAAGCUGAGCAGUUGGGCGUGCUCGAUGGUGGAGCCUGGAUGGACCUUCUUUUCAGCCUUGGCGAGGGUUUGCAGGGUGAGCUGGUUGGCAUGGUCACCGAUAGCAUGGAUAGCGAGCUUGAAGCCGUUGUCGGUACCCCUCUUGAUCAGUUCGCUCAACGCCUCGGGCUUGUAUGCGAGCAUACCGUAGUUGUCAGUAGAGCCGGGGUAAGGUUCGUGGCAAAAUGCGGUUUGAGAACCAAGAGAGCCGUCAGUGACGAUCUUGAAUGGUCCGACUUUGAUAAGACCGUUGGUCUCGGGAACGUCAUCGCCAGAUUUCCAUCCUCGUUCAAUGGAGUAGGGCAGGUGCUCAGUGUACAUGCCAACAUGAACUCGGAGUGUCCUAAAUCCCUUUUUGUAUCGCCUUUGCCAGUUGGGGAUGUUGAGCUCCCAUUCGAGAUCAACGAUCUCGGUAAUACCGAGAGUGCUAUGUGGAAUUAGCCUCAAGGGUGAUUAAGGAACGGAGAUUACUCACGCAGCGUACUUUGCUUCCUCCAUGAUCCACUUGUCGAUAGCUUCCGCAUCCACAUUUCCAAUCACCCGUGACAACUCGAAAGCAUCUCCCUCAUAGAGAUACCCAUUAUGACCCUCGGGCUCAUAACCACCCAACUUCAGACCGAGAGAGUUGGCGCAGAUGGAAUGGUAACCAUUGAAGAAGAGGAAAAUAGGUCGCUCAGUAGAUAUGUUGUCUAAGGAAAGUCGAGUGAGCUUCUGGGGGUCUGGCCACUCAGCGUUUCGCAAGUUGAUACCGCAAAAGUUGGCGUCGUACUUGGGCUCGUAUUUGGGGUCUUGGAUGGCAGCAGCUACUCGGUCCAGGACUUCCUGUGCAGUCUUGGCUGUUUGCAGAUUAAGACGAUGAUUAUGCAACGCGUUUAACUUGGU